GCAAAGCCGCGUUACGUUUCCGAGGGCGCUUGCCAGCGGCGCCGUGGCGACUCCGCCCGGCGUGAACCAUUGCGAGCCGUACGUGAUCGUCACCGGAGUGCCGCUGCCCGGCUGCGUUAUGUAGAUGCACCCGGUCUGUCCGGCCUUCUGGCCCGUCGGGUUCUGCAGCGUGAAGUUCGUUGCCGACGUCGCCUGAAAGGUGAAGUUGAAGCCCGCGCCAAAAUUCGGCGUCACGCUCGAUGUGCCGGACAGCGCGACAAGUGCUGCCGCGGCCGACGCA
rnacentral:misc_RNA from 1 species